rnacentral:rRNA from 1 species
GAUCCUGGCUCAGGAUGAACGCUGGCGGCGUGCUUAACACAUGCAAGUCGAGCGAAGCACUUUGGAAAGAUUCCUCGGAUGAUUUCCUUUGUGACUGAGCGGCGGACGGGGUGGGUAAACGGCGUGGGUAACCUGCCUCAUACAGGGGGAUAACAGUUAGAAAUGACUGCUAAUACCGCAUAAGACCACGGUACCGCAUGGUACAGUGGUAAAAACUCCGGUGGUAUGAGAUGGACCCGCGU